UACAUUGGUCACCGUGAAAUUGUUUGGGAAUUCUCAAACGGAUUGCAAAACAGUUUUCUUGUUAAACAGUUAAAUUGAUAACUAAUCGAGACUAUUCAUGGAAUCUAAACGAUUUUUUAAUUUAAAACAUUUUUGGGUUACCUGUUGUGUAAAAUACAACACACCUUCACCAGCUACACGUAUUUGGACAAAUGCCUGAGUUCCAUGCACAACGCAACUUCAGACAUCAGAGCAUUAAUGUCUGUAUUUUAAAAUAUAGUUUAGCUGGUGGAAUAGUUAUUUUUGUCUUCUUAAAAACCGUGGUGCUUUAGAUGCACAGAAAGAACAAGUGGAAAUCUAUGGAAAUAAAAGCCCUAUGGUACCCAGGUAGCCUAGCUACCUGAUGUUGCUCAUUAAACAUCUAGAAUACCGUCGGUGAAUCCACUGCACAUUACACUUGUUUCAUGAUGGACAGCAAUUUUCAGGAGGAUGCCAGCUGAAGAAAAUUAGCCCCUGCCAAAGACACGUCCACUGCUGAGACCGCCCAAUGGGAGCUCGCCUCGUUUAUCUCUGACAUCAGCAGCACUCGCUGGAUUGGACAGUCAAAUCAUAGAAUCGGCCGUGCGGCCCCACCCACCUGUCGACAGCGAUGGCGGUCAGCGUGAACACGGAGACGUACACGGUGACCGGCUGGAUGAGGAACACCAGGUAGCACAUGAAGCGGCCGAAGACCCAGCCGCGGGGGUUGAAGGCGUAGGCCAGGGUGAAGGGCACGCAGGUGGCGCACAUCAGCAUGUCGGAGAAGGCCAGGUUCCCGAUGAAGAAGUUGGUGACGUUGUGCAUCUUGCGGGUGUGGCAGAUGACAUAGAGCAGCAGGUAGUUGCCGAAGAUGGCCACCAGCACCACCAGGGCGUAGCAGGGGAUGAUGAGGGGCUUGUAGGACUGGAGGAGCUCCACGCCGGCAAACUGGGAGCUGCGGUUGGAGGAGCCGUUAUGCAGCGCUACCUCAAAGACCCGGCCACUGCCGUUCCCCUUGCCGCCCGCGCCGCACUGGGGCACAGGUCCCACAGGCCACCCACUGCCGCUGUCUUCCAUCCCAGCAGUUCAAGGCCACGUUUAAGCACCUGGUAGGCGAGUCUCCACAUUGAAGGAAAAAGGGGUAGAAAAUUAAUUGAACUGCAUCGUUGUCAUCGUCAUAAUUAUCAACAUGAUACGAUUGUCUCCAUCAUCGUAAUCAUCUUCACCAUCAUCAUAGCUAUGCAGAGGUGUUUUAACUCACUGUAAAAACCUUGCUGAAAUGGAACUUUGUCCAUGUGCUGUUCGUUCACAAUGGAGACUCGCCCGCUUCAAAAGAAAUAGCCACCCUGUUUAACAUGAAUACUGUGCUGAUGACGCUUCAAGCUACAUGUUCUGUGCCUAAGGACCUCCAAGCACAGCCAAGCCUGUGCCAGUAGCACACCAACCAUGUCUUUAUGAUGCUGGAAGCUCUGAUUGUAAUGGCCAUCUCCCUGAAAGGAGCCAUUAGCAGCGGGUUCGAGCCAGAGCUCCCACGUGCCGGUCUUUGUGUAUCUCCCGCUGACUCCAGCACAGAGAGGA